AUUGAACGCUGGCGGCAGGCCUAACACAUGCAAGUCGAGCGGAUGAAGGGAGCUUGCUCCUGGAUUCAGCGGCGGACGGGUGAGUAAUGCCUAGGAAUCUGCCUGGUAGUGGGGGAUAACGUCCGGAAACGGGCGCUAAUACCGCAUACGUCCUGAGGGAGAAAGUGGGGGAUCUUCGGACCUCACGCUAUCAGAUGAGCCUAGGUCGGAUUAGCUAGUUGGUGGGGUAAAGGCCUACCAAGGCGACGAUCCGUAACUGGUCUGAGAGGAUGAUCAGCCACACUGGAACUGAGACACGGUCCAGACUCCUACGGGAGGCAGCAGUGGGGAAUAUUGGACAAUGGGCGAAAGCCUGAUCCAGCCAUGCCGCGUGUGUGAAGAAGGUCUUCGGAUUGUAAAGCACUUUAAGUUGGGAGGAAGGGCAGUAAGUUAAUACCUUGCUGUUUUGACGUUACCAGCAGAAUAAGCACCGGCUAACUUCGUG
rnacentral:rRNA from 1 species